AUAGAAUAUUUAAUUUUAGGUACUAUAAGUUUAAAAUGAGAAAGUGGUGUAAAUCCAUUGCAGCCCCCGCUACUGUAAAAGUGAACGAUUCCUAUAAUCCACUGGUUUUACCGGGAAGGAAGGAGGAGGAUGAUGCUUAAGCCAGGAGAACUGCCUAAAUUUUUACUAUAUU
rnacentral:ncRNA from 2 species